rnacentral:tRNA from 1 species
UGAGGUAUAACUCAGUUGGUAGAGUACCGUGCUUUUAACACGGGAGUCUUAGGUUCGAGUCCUAGUGCCUCAACAA